rnacentral:lncRNA from 1 species
UUUUAGAUGACAUUUACACGAUAUGAUCACUUACACAUCCAGUCAUCACAAAAACAAAAGUCUCAGUAAUCUGGUUCAUAUUUAUGACAGCAAGAGAAACCAAAAGUCACAAGCUUUUCAUCACUUAGACAACUACAACAGGACAAGAACAACAACAACACACACCUAAACCACUAAAACAGAACAUGAAACAUAAAUAUGAAACAAGAACAACAACAGCACAUAGACACUCGUUUUAAGAGCAGUUGAGUGAUCGUACCAUCACCAGCAUCGUCAUUAGUAGCAGUAGCAAAACUCCAUAUGUGUUG